rnacentral:tRNA from 1 species
CCAUCAGCACCCAAAGCUGAUAUUCUCAUUAAACUACUUCUUG